GUGCUCACCUUGACAGGACAUAUACUAAAAUUGGAAUGAUACAGAGAAGAUUAGCAUGGCCCCAGUGCAAGGAUGACACAUAAAUUAAUGUCACCAAUUUAG
ensembl:snRNA U6 U6 spliceosomal RNA